rnacentral:rRNA from 1 species
CGCCUACGGGGGGCAGCAGUAGGGAAUUUUCGUCAGUGGGCGCAAGCCUGAACGAGCAAUGCCGCGUGAACGAGGAAGGUCUUCGGAUCGUAAAGUUCUGUUGAAGGGGAAAAAGAGCGGAGAGAGGAAAUGGUCUCCGAUUGAUAUUACCCUUCGAGGAAGUCACGGCUAACUACGUGCCAGCAGCCGCGGUAAUACGUAGGGGCGGAGCGUUAUCGGGAAUGAUUGGGCGAAAAGGGUGCGAAGUCGGCCGGCUAAGUCUGGGGUGAAAGGUACGGGCGCAACCGGUA